CGCGCGCGAUACUGGCAUUAACUCUCACUAACAAGUACAUAAACAACAACAUCAAGUUCUUGUCGAUGAUAAAUUGUACUGUCAUUGAUUACUGCGUUUAUCAAAAUUGUUAUAGUCAGAUGUUUCCCUUGCUAGAGGCCUCAAAAGGAAAUGUCGUCAUUGGCCUGAUCACUGCAUGUUUGCAUACAUGAGAAUUGGAAAUAAGAAUGUGAAAAUAAGAACGAUUUCAAAUGAAACAUAUAUACACAACACAGAUAAUAUCGGUUUUCGAUGUCGCAAUAAUAUCAGGUCGACGGUUUCUGCUUUGGGAUUUCUAGUGAAACUCAUCUUGCAUAAUCAUUAUGCAAAUAGUAAGUACCUAAACAUUUAAAAAUAUAAUGAAAUAUAUUUUUUACAUAUUUAUAAUGAUAAUUCUUACUUAUAUAUAAGUAAGGACUGUAAAUGCAAAUACAAAGUACGUAUUUUUAUAAAAGCAAUUUAAUCCAUUACCAUCAUGACAUAAAAAAUAAUUUUCUUAAAGAAAAAAUUAUUUGUGCUCCUAAAA